GACGAACGCUGGCGGCGUGCCUAAUACAUGCAAGUAGAACGCUGAAGGAGGAGCUUGCUUCUCUGGAUGAGUUGCGAACGGGUGAGUAACGCGUAGGUAACCUGCCUGGUAGCGGGGGAUAACUAUUGGAAACGAUAGCUAAUACCGCAUAAUAUUGACUAUUGCAUGAUAGUCAGUUGAAAGGUGCAACUGCACCACUACCAGAUGGACCUGCGUUGUAUUAGCUAGUUGGUGGGGUAACGGCUCACCAAGGCGACGAUACAUAGCCGACCUGAGAGGGUGAUCGGCCACACUGGGACUGAGACACGGCCCAGACUCCUACGGGAGGCAGCAGUAGGGAAUCUUCGGCAAUGGACGGAAGUCUGACCGAGCAACGCCGCGUGAGUGAAGAAGGUUUUCGGAUCGUAAAGCUCGGUUGUAAGAGAAGAACGAGUGUGAGAGUGGAAAGCUCACACUGUGACGGUAUCUUACCAGAAAGGGACGGCUAACUACGUG
rnacentral:rRNA from 1 species